GCGAGCAUGGUCUAGGGGUUAUGACUGCACGUUCCCAACGUGCCGAGGCGAGUUCGAUUCUCGCUGUUCGCACCA
rnacentral:tRNA from 1 species